GUGGGGAAUCUUCCGCAAUGGACGAAAGUCUGACGGAGCGACGCCGCGUGAGUGAAGAAGGCCUUCGGGUCGUAAAGCUCUGUCAUCAGGGACGAACGGCCGGUGGAGUGGAAAGCCACCGGAUUGACGGUACCUGAGAAGGAAGCCACGGCUAACUACGUGCCAGCAGCCGCGGUAAUACGUAGGUGGCAAGCGUUGUCCGGAAUUAUUGGGCGUAAAGCGCGCGCAGGUGGGAUCUUAAGUCCAUUUUUAAAGUUCGGAGCUCAACUCCGUGAUGGGAUGGAAACUGGGAUUCUUGAGUACCGGAGAGGAAAGCGGAAUUCCCCGUGUAGCGGUGAAAUGCGUAGAUAUGGGGAGGAACACCAGUGGCGAAGGCGGCUUUCUGGACGGUGUCUGACACUGAGGCGCGAAAGCCAGGGGAGCGAAUGGGAUUAGAAACCCCAGUAGUCC
rnacentral:rRNA from 1 species